GAGACAGGUAGAGAGAGAGGGAUAGAUGGAGGGAGAGGUAGAGACAGGUAGAGAGAGAGGGAUAGAUGGAGGGAGGGAGAGGUAGAGACAGGUAGAGACAGGUAGAGAGAGAGGGAUAGAUGGAGGGAGAGGUAGAGACAGGUAGAGAGAGGGGGAUAGAUGGAGGGAGAGGUAGAGACAGGUAGAGAGAGAGGGAUAGAUGGAGGGAGAGAGAGGUAGAGAGAGAGGGAUAGAUGGAGGGAGAGGUAGAGACAGGUAGAGAGAGAGGGAUAGAUGGAGGGAGGGAGAGGUAGAGACAGGUAGAGAGAGAGGGAUAGAUGGAGGGAGGGAGAGGUAGAGACAGGUAGAGACAGGUAGAGAGAGAUGGAUAGAUGGAGGGAGAGGUAGAGACAGGUAGAGAGAGGGGGAUAGAUGGAGGGAGAGGUAGAGACAGGUAG
ensembl:lncRNA